rnacentral:rRNA from 1 species
AUUGAACGCUGGCGGCAUGCCUUACACAUGCAAGUCGAACGGUAACAGGUCUUCGGAUGCUGACGAGUGGCGAACGGGUGAGUAAUACAUCGGAACGUGCCUAGUAGUGGGGGAUAACUACUCGAAAGAGUGGCUAAUACCGCAUGAGAUCUACGGAUGAAAGCAGGGGAUCGCAAGACCUUGUGCUACUAGAGCGGCCGAUGGCAGAUUAGGUAGUUGGUGGGAUAAAAGCUUACCAAGCCGACGAUCUGUAGCUGGUCUGAGAGGGCGAUCAGCCACACUGGGACUGGGACACGGCCCAGACUCCUACGGGAGGCAGCAGUGGGGAAUUUUGGACGAUGGGCGCAAGCCUGAUCCAGCAAUGCCGCGUGCAGGAUGAAGGCCUUCGGGUUGUAAACUGCUUUUGUACGGAACGAAAAGCCCUGGGUUAAUACCCUGGGGUCAUGACGGUACCGUAAGAAUAAGCACCGGCUAACUACGUGCCAGCCGCCGCAGUAACAC